CAUCAUCUUUUGUUUGAAGUAGCAGCCGACCACACCACCAUCACACCAUUACAGUCCAUUUGCUCUCAAUCUGCAACAUUUGAGAUGGAUGCGAAGAAUGUAGACAUUGAUGAUCAUGCUUCUUGGCCUGAGGCUAUUGAAUCACAUUAUAUUGGUCUUUUGUAUGAA